CAGUAGCCGCGGUAAUACGUAGGGUGCGAGCGUUAAUCGGAAUUACUGGGCGUAAAGCGUGCGCAGGCGGUUCGUUAAGACAGAUGUGAAAUCCCCGGGCUUAACCUGGGAACUGCAUUUGUGACUGACGGGCUAGAGUAUGGCAGAGGGGGGUAGAAUUCCACGUGUAGUAGUGAAAUGCGUAGAGAUGUGGAGGAAUACCGAUGGCGAAGGCAGCCCCCUGGGCCAAUACUGACGCUCAUGCACGAAAGCGUGGGGAGCAAACAGGAUUAGAUACCCCCGUAGUCCCUGUCUCUUAUAC
rnacentral:rRNA from 1 species